UACGUAGGGGGCAAGCGUUGUCCGGAUUUAUUGGGCGUAAAGAGCGAGUAGGCGGCCAUACAGGUCCGUUGUGAAAACUGGAGGCUUAACCUCCAGACGUCGAUGGAAACCGUAUGGCUAGAGUCCGGAAGAGGAGAGUGGAAUUCCUGGUGUAGCGGUGAAAUGCGCAGAUAUCAGGAAGAACACCCGUGGCGAAGGCGGCUCUCUGGGACGGUACUGACGCUGAGACGCGAAAGCGUGGGGAGCGAACAGG
rnacentral:rRNA from 1 species